rnacentral:rRNA from 1 species
UACGGAGGAUGCAAGCGUUAUCCGGAUUCAUUGGGUUUAAAGGGUGCGUAGGCGGACUUAUAAGUCAGUGGUGAAAUCCUGCAGCUUAACUGUAGCACUGCCAUUGAUACUGUUAGUCUUGAGUUUGGUUAAGGUAGGCGGAAUGUGUAAUGUAGCGGUGAAAUGCUUAGAUAUUACACAGAACACCAAUUGCGAAGGCAGCUUACUGGACCGAUACUGACGCUGAGGCACGAAAGCGUGGGGAGCGAACAGG